rnacentral:tRNA from 1 species
GCCAGGAUAGCUCAAUUGGUAGAGCACUCGACUUGUAAUCGAGUGGUUGCGGGUUCGAUUCCCGCUCCUGGCUCCA